UGGGGAAUAUUGGACAAUGGGGGCAACCCUGAUCCAGCCAUGCCGCGUGAGUGAUGAAGGCCUUCGGGUUGUAAAGCUCUUUUGGCGGGGACGAUGAUGACGGUACCCGCAGAAUAAGCCCCGGCUAACUUCGUGCCAGCAGCCGCGGUAAGACGAAGGGGGCUAGCGUUGUUCGGAAUUACUGGGCGUAAAGCGAGUGUAGGCGGUUGUCGUAGUCAGGUGUGAAAGCCUUGAGCUCAACUCAAGAAAUGCACUUGAUACUGGGUGACUAGAGGACCGGAGAGGAUAGUGGAAUUCCCAGUGUAGUGGUGAAAUACGUAGAGAUUGGGAAGAACACCAGUGGCGAAGGCGGCUAUCUGGACGGUUACUGACGCUAAGACUCGAAAGCGUGGGGAGCAAACAGGAUUAGAUACCCUGGGUAGUCCACGCCGUAAACGAUGGGUGCUAGACGUUGGCGAGCUUGCUCGUCAGUGUCGCAGCUAACGCGUUAAGCA
rnacentral:rRNA from 1 species